rnacentral:rRNA from 1 species
CCUGAUCACCCAUAGGAGGUCCAGCCUGCCCAGUGACUAAGUUAAACGGCCGCGGUACCCUAACCGUGCAAAGGUAGCGCAAUCACUUGUUCUUUAAAUGAGGACUAGUAUGAACGGCAUCACGAGGGUUAUGCUGUCUCCCUACUCUACUCAGUGAAACUGAUCUCCCCGUGAAGAAGCGGGGAUAAAAAUAUAAGACGAGAAGACCCCAUGGAGCUUUAAACUCAGUACCAACUGCCCUAACAAUAACCUAUUACCCUUGCAGCCAUGGUCACUAGUUUUCGGUUGGGGUGACCACGGAGUAAAACUUAACCUCCACGAUGAAAGGAACUAAUAUCCUAACCCAUGAGCUACAGCUCUAAGUAUCAACAAAUUGACUAAUUGACCCAAUUACUUGAUCAACGAACCA